UCCUGACAAAAUGUUUCACAUGGAACAAUUUGACACUCACCCAGACAGGAGAUACUUAUG
rnacentral:ncRNA from 1 species